rnacentral:rRNA from 1 species
GACGAACGCUGGCGGCGUGCCUAAUACAUGCAAGUUGAGCGCUGAAGGUUGGUACUUGUACCAACUGGAUGAGCAGCGAACGGGUGAGUAACGCGUGGGGAAUCUGCCUUUGAGCGGGGGACAACAUUUGGAAACGAAUGCUAAUACCGCAUAAAAACUUUAAACACAAGUUUUAAGUUUGAAAGAUGCAAUUGCAUCACUCAAAGAUGAUCCCGCGUUGUAUUAGCUAGUUGGUGAGGUAAAGGCUCACCAAGGCGAUGAUACAUAGCCGACCUGAGAGGGUGAUCGGCCACAUUGGGACUGAGACACGGCCCAAACUCCUACGGGAGGCAGCAGUAGGGAAUCUUCGGAAAUGGACGAAAGUCUGACCGAGCAACGCCGCGUGAGUGAAGAAGGUUUUCGGAUCGUAAAACUCUGUUGGUAGAGAAGAAAGUUGGUAAGAGUGGAAAGCUCAUCAAGUGACGGUAACUACACAGAAAGGGACGGCUAACUACGUG